GUGCAUGCUUCACCAGCACAUAUAAUGAAAUUGGAACAACACAGAGAUUAGUAUGGCCCCUGAACAAGGAUGACAUGCUAAUUCAUGAAUUGUUUCAUAUUUUU
ensembl:snRNA U6 U6 spliceosomal RNA